CCUCUGGGAUCUGUUAUAGUUCGGCUGUUAAAGACCAACACGCUCUGUUUAUCGCGGUGUUGUGACGAGCUAAUUGCUUUCUGCCCGUGGCAAAGAUUAUUGGAGAAAAUGAGAAUAGGCUUCGAAACACUCCUCCUUCUCCUUGGUGACGUUCUGUUGAUGUUUGUUUUAAUUCUGGGUGCUGUGAGAGCAUGUCAGGACUUGUUUAGGACUUGCCACCAGGGCUCACCCUCUGCUCUACUCUAACCUUGAUCAUAUUAAUCACUUAUAUAAGUGUCGCAUGCAUGCACACGCACGCAUGCACGCACACACACACACACACACACACACACACACAUCAUGAAACCCCAGGUUUCCCCUGGGAUAACAGGCUUUCCAAGAAAAACCUCAGGAUCGGGCAGUGACCAGCAGUGUCUGCCUCCCAGCCGUCGACGACCUUGGCAUCAGAGAAACGGAAUGAAAGAAAGAGCUCACUUUAGCCACCGCUUACUAAAAGUCAACGGAAGCAGCGGGCGGUGCUUGUCAGUGUGGCUGCUUAACCUCACAGGACAACAAAAGCACUGUGCAUCAUCGUGGAUGGGAGUGAGAUUCAGAAUGGUUGUGGGCUAUCGCACCUGGACAAGGAGUUGGUGGCCCACUGGAAAGCAGAGUGUGGCCUGGCCAUAGACUGGACUCUCCUGCUGACCCUGCAUUCUGCUCACACCCUGGAUACGCUGGGCAGCAGGACCGCCAGGAAACAGCCAACACACACCUAAUUAGCAGAACAAACCAUGUAAUUGUCUCCCAAAUUGUCUCCCAAACUGUUAUGUGACAGUUUUAAAUAUACUGGUCUAUAUAGACUGGUGCCCCGUGUAUAUAGACAAGACUCAUUAUGUAUUAUUACUUUUAUUAUUACAUUUUGUACUUUUCUAUUAUUUCUCUAUUAUCUUUCUCUCUGUAAUGUUGGGAAGGGCCCGUAACUAAGCAUUUAACUGUUAGUCCACACCUGUUGUUUACGAAGCAUGUGACAAAUCAAUUUGUUAUUUCAUUGAUUUGAUACUACAUGUAAUAUUGCCUGUUUGAAACAGACCCCCUCGGUAUGUAAAUGUGUGUCGGAAACCGUCAGAAGAUGUCAAUGAAUUGUGAAUAUGAAUUACAGCCUUCUGCUUCCUGCUUGGAAAGGUCAGUCUGACAUGGCUCCCUCGUGUCACUUGUUUCGUUGACACCGGCAUAAACAGACACACACACACACACACGCAGGCAUGUACCAACGCAUGCACUCUCAUACACACACACACUAGAUUGUAUUCCCAGCUCGCCAAUCCCUAUCUGCACUCGAAACCAAACCACAGAGCGAGUCAAAGGAGUCAUCCACAGUAUCUUUAUAAUGGGACUCUAUAAUAUGAUUGACAUGUUAUCAGCCUCUGAUGGCAUGAGAGCUGCACUGAGGUACCCUGACAGGAGAGGUGAUGAUAAGGUGAAUGGAGGAUAGAGGAGAUGGAUGGAUGAUGGACCCGAGGGUAGAUGAGUACAUGGUUUCAUCCCAAAAUGGCACCCUAUUCCGUACAUGGUGCACUACUUUUGACCAGAGCCCUAUGGGUCCAGAUCAAAAGUAGUGCACUAUAUAGGGAAUAGGAUGCCAUUUGGGAUGCGCACUGUGAGGUGAGUGAGGGAGCAAUGGAAGGGAAUGUGCAGCCAACGUCUGAUCCAAUACGGGGGAGAAGGGAGACAACAGAGAGGGGGUAUGUGUCAGAAGAAUUAUGACAGCGUGACCCGUGUCUGAGGUCAGACGGACUGAGGAGACACUGCAGGAAUACAGAACAGAUCAGCUUUCUCCUCUGUUGUCGCUCGCAUCUCCUAUCGUAUCACAUCUCACUGCCAUGAUACUGUAGGGUUGGACAAAUAGUAGCUCUGGUCCAGGGGUCACGUGCAGUUUGCUGACACUGAGAAGGCUCAGCUUCAGGAAUCUGCACUGGGAUCAGAGCUAGACAAAUAAGGUAGUAGUUAUUCUACUAAUGUGAUCAAGGCAAUGGAAUGCUAGGAAACACAUGGGCCUUUCCCGAUGAUAAGGUUUCAGUACCACGUACAGUCAUCAGGAGUUGAAAUAACUUGGAAUGGCUGUGCAAAUGGAACCGGAGUCUAACCUGAAGCCUAUUCACCACUGUGUGCGCGUGCGCAUAUUGAGUGUAAAGUCCAAGUGUGUGACUAUGUUUUUCUGUCACAACUAUCCCGCCACUCCAAUGCUUGUGUUCUAUCUAUCAGACCCACGGCGUGGGUGAUUUACCCACAAUGCUGAGUCCUGCGGGGCUGCAAGUAACGCUCCGCUCGCGCUCGGCUCCACACCUGAUGUCCUGCUGGUAGCUGUCACAGCAGCACACACACACCACUACCAUGUAGUACACCUAUUCCCUAUGUAGUACACCUAUUCCCUAUGUAGUACACCUAUUCUCUAUGUAGUACACCUAUUCUCUAUGUAGUACACCUAUUCUCUAUGUAGGGCACCUAUUCCCUAUAUAGUGCACCUAUUCCCUAUGUAGUGCACUGCUUUUGACCAGAACUCUGAUGUCUGUCUCUCUCCCUAUGUAGUGCACUUUGUAGGGAAUAGGGUGCCAUUUGGACGGCACUCCUUCCUCAGUGCUACUGUUUCUCUCCGCGGGAGCUGGAUACGGAUAAAUAACAUUAAUAAUGUACAGAGAACAGUAAAAUGCUAAGUGGAUAUGCAUAAUACAUUACCUUAUUAUUUUGUCUUUGGUGCUAUUAAGAGAAUGUUUUCUCUUGUCUGAAAAGCACAACAAUGGUGACAUAAAUGCUUCUUCGUGGGGCUUUGUGGGCUUUGAUCAUAGAAGGAGGGGACUGACAUAAAUCCAGCUGAGAGUGAAGAUGGACCAAAUAUGGACACUGUAAAGGAUGGCUGGAUUAGGCUCGCUACUUUAUUUAGGUAGCACAAACCUUGCUACCCCUGUUAAUUUCCUAAUAAUAGUAUUUUCCGUAGAUCGCCAUGAUUAAGGUGGUUGCUGCCAGGUUGGUGUGUAAAGGUGGUGGACUGCACCAUCCAGGAAUAUCGGCAUGCGGGUGUAUCUGGAGACUUCCCCCCUUCCUCUGAAAGUGUUUUCAGACCCCUUCACUUUUUCCUCCAUUUGUUCAAUUACAGCCUUAUUCUAAAAUGUAUGAAAUAUUUUUUCCCCCUCAUCAAUCUAGCUAGACAUCAUGACGAAGCAGAAACAGAUUUUUUUUUCUUUCAUUUUUGCA